UUCGGUCUCCUAAGCGAGAUGGAACGACUCUUUCCCAUUUCGAACAGGGAUGUCAAACGUCUUAGCGCCGACGAUAGUGACGCCGCAAGGCUUUGCGAAAAUAGGUCGAGAAAUAUA
rnacentral:rRNA from 1 species